CCAUAAACACUUCCUGUAAAGAGAGCCCUAUUUAGGCUUUCUUUAUUGCAAGUUCUGUUUAAUUAAGAUUUUCUUAUCCCCUGCUAUGUUAAUAGCUUGCAAGACCCUUCAAGAGCCUCCUGUGUGUGAUUAAAGUUCAAUUUAGAGAUUGAGAUACAAUUAUUUAAGGUAAAUUACAUCUGUUUGAAAGUGAACCUAGUUUUUUUUUUCAUGCAGGCUCUGUCAAUCAUAGCCAG